rnacentral:rRNA from 1 species
UGGGGAAUAUUGGACAAUGGGCGAAAGCCUGAUCCAGCCAUGCCGCGUGAGUGACGAAGGCCUUAGGGUUGUAAAACUCUUUCGUCGGGGACGAUAAUGACGGUACCCGAAGAAGAAGCUCCGGCUAACUUCGUGCCAGCAGCCGCGGUAAUACGAAGGGAGCUAGCGUUGUUCGGAAUCACUGGGCGUAAAGCGCACGUAGGCGGAUAGUUAAGUCAGGGGUGAAAUCCUGGGGCUCAACCCCAGAACUGCCUUUGAUACUGGCUGUCUCGAGGUCGAGAGAGGUUGGUGGAAUUCCUAGUGUAGAGGUGAAAUUCGUAGAUAUUAGGAAGAACACCAGUGGCGAAGGCGGCCAACUGGCUCGAUACUGACGCUGAGGUGCGAAAGCGUGGGGAGCAAACAGGAUUAGAUACCCAUGUAGUCCCUGAGCGGGCUGGCAAGGCGC